rnacentral:rRNA from 1 species
GCUGGAAAUUAAGCAUAUCAAUAAGCGGAGGAAAAGAAACUAACAAGGAUUCCCCUAGUAACUGCGAGUGAAGCGGGAAAAGCUCAAAUUUAAAAUCUGGUGGCCUUUGACCACCCGAGUUGUAAUUUAGAGAAGCGUCUUCYGCGCUGGACCGUGCACAAGUCUCCUGGAAUGGAGCGUCAUAGAGGGUGAGAAUCCCGUCUUUGGCACGGACUCCCGGUGCUUCUGCGAUGCGCUCUCGACGAGUCGAGUUGUUUGGGAAUGCAGCUCAAAAUGGGUGGUGAACUCCAUCUAAAGCUAAAUAUUGGCGAGAGACCGAUAGCGAACAAGUACCGUGAGGGAAAGAUGAAAAGCACUUUGGAAAGAGAGUGAAACAGUACGUGAAAUUGUUGAAAGGGAAACGCUUCAAGUCAGUCGCGUCGACCGAGACUCAGCCUUGCCUUGGCUUGGUGUGCUUCUCGGCCUGACGGGUCAGCAUCAAUUUUGCCCCUUGGAUAAUGGCAAGGGAAAUGUGCCACCUCUUUAGGUGUGUUAUAGUCCUCUGUCGGAUGCAAGGGUCGGGAUUGAGGAACUCAGCACGCACCUCCGGGUGUCGGGGUAUUUGCCCACGUUACGUGCUUAGGAUGCUGGCGUAAUGGCUUUAAACGACCCGUCUUGAAACACGGACCAAGGAGUCUAACAUACCCGCGAGUGUUCGGGUGGAAAACCCGUGCGCGUAAUGAAAGUAAAAGUUGGGACCUCUGUCGUGGAGGGCACCGACGCCCGGACCAGACCUUCUGUGACGGCUCUGCGGUAGAGCGUGUAUGUUGGGACCCGAAAGAUGGUGAACUAUGCCUGAAUAGGGUGAAGCCAGAGGAAACUCUGGUGGAGGCUCGUAGCGAUUCUGACGUGCAAAUCGAUCGUCAAAUUUGGGUAUAGGGGCGAAAGACUAAUCGAACCAUCUAGUAGCUGGUUCCUGCCGAAUUUCCCCUCAGGAA